AGAGUUUGAUCAUGGCUCAGAACGAACGCUGGCGGCAGGCCUAACACAUGCAAGUCGAACGCUCCGCAAGGGGAGUGGCAGACGGGUGAGUAACACGUGGGAACCUUCCCAUCGCUACGGAAUAGCUCAGGGAAACUUGGGGUAAUACCGUAUACGCCCGAAAGGGGAAAGAUUUAUCGGCGAUGGAUGGGCCCGCGGCUGAUUAGCUAGUUGGUGAGGUAACGGCUCACCAAGGCGACGAUCAGUAGCUGGUCUGAGAGGACGACCAGCCACACUGGGACUGAGACACGGCCCAGACUCCUACGGGAGGCAGCAGUGGGGAAUAUUGGACAAUGGGCGCAAGCCUGAUCCAGCCAUGCCGCGUGAGUGACGAAGGUCUUCGGAUUGUAAAGCUCUUUUGGCGGGGACGAUAAUGACGGUACCCGCAGAAUAAGCCCCGGCUAACUUCGUG
rnacentral:rRNA from 1 species